rnacentral:rRNA from 1 species
GCGGUAGCGCAGAGGAGCUUGCUCCUUGGGUGACGAGUGGCGGACGGGUGAGUAAUGUCUGGGAAACUGCCCGAUGGAGGGGGAUAACUACUGGAAACGGUAGCUAAUACCGCAUAACGUCGCAAGACCAAAGAGGGGGACCUUCGGGCCUCUUGCCAUCGGAUGUGCCCAGAUGGGAUUAGCUAGUAGGUGGGGUAACGGCUCACCUAGGCGACGAUCCCUAGCUGGUCUGAGAGGAUGACCAGCCACACUGGAACUGAGACACGGUCCAGACUCCUACGGGAGGCAGCAGUGGGGAAUAUUGCACAAUGGGCGCAAGCCUGAUGCAGCCAUGCCGCGUGUAUGAAGAAGGCCUUCGGGUUGUAAAGUACUUUCAGCGAGGAGGAAGGUGUUGUGGUUAAUAACCGCAGCAAUUGACGUUACUCGCAGAAGAAGCACCGGCUAACUCCGUGCCAGCAGCCGCGGUAAUACGGAGGGUGCAAGCGUUAAUCGGAAUUACUGGGCGUAAAGCGCACGCAGGCGGUCUGUCAAGUCGGAUGUGAAAUCCCCGGGCUCAACCUGGGAACUGCAUCCGAAACUGGCAGGCUAGAGUCUUGUAGAGGGGGGUAGAAUUCCAGGUGUAGCGGUGAAAUGCGUAGAGAUCUGGAGGAAUACCGGUGGCGAAGGCGGCCCCCUGGACAAAGACUGACGG